AACAAACUGAGGGAAAGAGGUACGUUGAGGUUAAUUCCCAAUAAAUUGGCUUUAAUUGCAGUGCAAAGGCAAACAGCAGCAUCAAGAUCAGCAAGUCCAUGAAUUAGAGAACAACAUGGAGUCUUGGCUGGAUCACUUCCUAUACCAAGGUGCACUAAGUCAUUCAAUAAGCUGGCACACACUUUUAGCUUAAGUGUGUCCUUUGGGCACUUACCCUUUGAUGAUGGGGUGGAUGGGGUGGAUGGGGUAGAGGGGGUAGAGGGGGUAGGGGUUAGAGAACAACAAGGAGUCUUGGCUGGAUCACUUCCAAUAACAAGGUGCACCAAGUCAUUCAAUAAGUUGGCACACACUUUUAGCUUAAGUGUGUCCUUUGGGCACUUACCUUUUGAUGAUGGAGUUGAUGGGGUGGAUGGGAUAGAGGGGGUAGGGGUAGGCUUAGGGUGGGGCUUGGAAUGACCCUUUGAUGGGGUGGGUGGGCAUGGGAUGUUAGUGGAACUAACCAUAGUGAAGAAGAGAAUGCUCAAAAUGAGAAGAAGGGCAAUGGAGGAUAUUGCAAACUUAGCCAUUUUUAGAGUUAAGUAAUUAGCACUCUCAACAAUUGAAUGUGGAUAAUUAGUGAAAUGUUGUUUGGUUGGUGUUUGAAAUAAAUGAAAUGAGUGAGUAUUUAUAGAUGGAAAUGCUUGAUAUAUUUUGCAAUUUUUGACAAUUUUCUGAAACUAAUAGAGAAAAUUGGUGGCCCAUGUGGGAGUAUUGUGCUACGAAAUAGAGAAUAUCAAGACACUCUGGAGGCAAAACUUGAGAUAAGACUAUUAUGGAUUUUAAAGUUUGGAAUUUUGUGAAUUUCAUUAAUCUUUUAUUAUUUCUUCCUUGAAGAAAACAAAAUUAUCCUUCCAUUUUCACAUGGGACUUAAAUUAUUCUCCUUAAUUAUUGCAAUGGAGGAUAUUGCAAACUUAGCCAUUUCUAAGAGUUAAAUAGUUAGCACUCUCAACAAUUGAAUGUGGCUAAUUAGUGAAAUGUUGUUUGCUUGGUGUUUGAAAUGAAAGAAAUGAGUGGGUAUUUAUAGAUAGAAAUGCUUGAUAUAUUUUGCAAUUUUUGACAAUUUUCU
rnacentral:lncRNA from 1 species